rnacentral:rRNA from 1 species
AACGCGAAGAACCUUACCCAGGUUUGACAUGCAGAGGAAGUGGGCAGAGAUGUCCACGCCCUUCGGGGCCUCUGCACAGGUGCUGCAUGGCUGUCGUCAGCUCGUGCCGUGAGGUGUUGGGUUAAGUCCCGCAACGAGCGCAACCCUUAUCGUUAGUUGCCAACAGGUGAAGCUGGGAACUCUAGCGAGACUGCCUGGGUUAACCAGGAGGAAGGUGAGGAUGACGUCAAGUCCGCAUGGCCCUUAUGUCUGGGGCUACACACGUGCUACAAUGGCCGGUACAGAAGGAAGCGAAACCGCGAGGUGGAGCAAAUCCUAAAAAGCCGGCCCCAGUUCAGAUUGUAGUCUGCAACUCGACUACAUGAAGACGGAAUUGCUAGUAAUGGCGAGUCAGCAACAUCGCCGUGAAUACGUUCCCGGGCCUUGUA